AUUGAACGCUGGCGGCAGGCUUAACACAUGCAAGUCGAGCGGAGAUGAGGUGCUUGCACCUUAUCUUAGCGGCGGACGGGUGAGUAAUGCUUAGGAAUCUGCCUAUUAGUGGGGGACAACAUUCCGAAAGGAAUGCUAAUACCGCAUACGUCCUACGGGAGAAAGCAGGGGAUCUUCGGACCUUGCGCUAAUAGAUGAGCCUAAGUCGGAUUAGCUAGUUGGUGGGGUAAAGGCCUACCAAGGCGACGAUCUGUAGCGGGUCUGAGAGGAUGAUCCGCCACACUGGGACUGAGACACGGCCCAGACUCCUACGGGAGGCAGCAAUGGGGAAUGUUGGACAAUGGGGGGAACCCUGAUCCAGCCAUGCCGCGUGUGUGAAGAAGGCCUUAUGGUUGUAAAGCACUUUAAGCGAGGAGGAGGCUACUGAGACUAAUACUCUUGGAUAGUGGACGUUACUCGCAGAAUAAGCACCGGCUAACUCUGUGCCAGCCGCCGCAGUAACAC
rnacentral:rRNA from 1 species